AAAGAGUGGGAAGCCCUCGGGAGCCGGAAAUAGCCGAAGCGGAUCGGGACGGGGGCAAAAAGUAGGGAUCGAGAUGAUCGGGAAAGAACGGAAGGCGGCGUCAGUUAUGGACGAAACAACUCUAGCUGAGAAUAUAGACCACAUCUAGAGGACAGCACCCUGUCCUUUCAAGCUGUGGUCUCCAGCUGGCACCAUCUCUGAAGCUUCAACAGGCCGUUCCACAAUUCUAGGGGGCCGUCUGCUUUAAGUCAUGAGAAAAAUGGAAAGACCAGUGAAUCCCAUCGGGCAAGAUUUCUCCAUGCUUUUUCAGUGUUAUACUGGAACGUUAUCUACCAAACCCCUCUGGCAUUCUAGAUUUUACUCUGUCUGGCUUACCAUUUAAUUGUCAACUAGGGUCCAGACUCAAUAAAGUUAUGGAACAUU